rnacentral:rRNA from 1 species
ACGUAGGAGGCAAACGUUAUCCGGAUUUACUGGGCGUAAAGCGCGUGUAGGUGGUUCUGUAAGUAGGGCGUGAAAGCUCCCGGCUCAACUGGGAGAGGCCGUUCUAAACUACAGAACUAGAGGAUGGUAGAGGGAGGUGGAAUUCCAGGUGUAGCGGUGGAAUGCGUAGAUAUCUGACGGAACCCCAGUGGCGAAAGCGGCAUCCUGGACAAUUACUGACACUCAGACGCGAAAGCUAGUGUAGCAAACGG